rnacentral:rRNA from 1 species
GAUGAACGCUGGCGGCGUGCCUAAUACAUGCAAGUCGAGCGAACAGACGAGGAGCUUGCUCCUCUGACGUUAGCGGCGGACGGGUGAGUAACACGUGGAUAACCUACCUCUAAGACUGGGAUAACUUCGGGAAACCGGAGCUAAUACCGGAUAAUAUAUUGAACCGCAUGGUUCAAUGGUGAAUGACGGUUUUGCUGUCACUUAUAGAUGGAUCCGCGCCGCAUUAGCUAGUUGGUAAGGUAACGGCCUACCAAGGCGACGAUGCGUAGCCGACCUGAGAGGGGGAACGGCCACACUGGAAAUGAGAAACGGUCCCGACUCCUAAGGGAGGCAGCAGUAGGGAAUAUUGCGCAAUGGGGGGAAGCCUGAACGAGCCAACCCGCGUGGGUGAAGAAGGUCUUCGGGUUGGAAAACCCUUUUAUUAGGGAAGAAAAAAGGGAGAAAGAAACAAGGCAGUUCUGACGGGAACUAAUCAGAAAGCAACGGCUAACUAUGUG